ensembl:misc_RNA Gm28032 predicted gene, 28032
GUUACUCGGUGUUCUCACCGAAAGCCGGUGUAACUCAUGUUGGCUGGGGGGCCUCCCCGCGCGCAGAAAGGCUGGGGUGCGCCCCC